rnacentral:rRNA from 1 species
AACGCGAAGAACCUUACCUGGGUUUGACAUAUACCGGAUCGCCUCAGAGAUGGGGUUUCCCUUGUGGUCGGUAUACAGGUGGUGCAUGGCUGUCGUCAGCUCGUGUCGUGAGAUGUUGGGUUAAGUCCCGCAACGAGCGCAACCCUUGUCCUGUGUUGCCAGCAAGUAAUGUUGGGGACUCGCAGGAGACUGCCGGGGUCAACUCGGAGGAAGGUGGGGACGACGUCAAGUCAUCAUGCCCCUUAUGUCCAGGGCUUCACACAUGCUACAAUGGCCGGUACAGAGGGCUGCGAUACCGUGAGGUGGAGCGAAUCCCUUAAAGCCGGUCUCAGUUCGGAUCGGGGUCUGCAACUCGACCCCGUGAAGUCGGAGUCGCUAGUAAUCGCAGAUCAGCAACGCUUCCGUGAAUACCUUCCCGGGUCUUGUACACACCG